UACGGAGGAUCCAAGCGUUAUCCGGAUUUAUUGGGUUUAAAGGGUCCGCAGGCGGAUUAUUAAGUCAGUGGUGAAAUGCUGUCGCUUAACGAUAGCACUGCCAUUGAUACUGGUAAUCUUGAGUAUAGUUGAGGUGGGCGGAAUAAGUCAUGUAGCGGUGAAAUGCAUAGAUAUGACUUAGAACACCAAUUGCGAAGGCAGCUCACUAAACUAUUACUGACGCUGAGGGACGAAAGCGUGGGGAGCGAACAGGAUUAGAUACCCCCGUA
rnacentral:rRNA from 1 species